rnacentral:rRNA from 1 species
UACCAGCUCUCCGAGUGGUAGGGAUGAUUAUUGGGCUUAAAGCGUCCGUAGCCGGCUUAGCAAGUUUCCUGUUAAACCCAGCGACUCAAUCGUUGGAUCGCGGGAAAUACUACUAGGCUAGGAGGCGGGAGAGGUCAACGGUACUUCUGGGGUAGGGGUGAAAUCCUAUAAUCCCGGGAGGACCACCAGUGGCGAAGGCUGUUGACUAGAACGCGCUCGACGGUGAGGGACGAAAGCUGCGGUGGCAAACCGGAUUAGAUACCCGGGUAGUCCCAGCUGUAAACGAUGCGAGCUAGGUGUUGGGAUGGCUACGGGCCAUUUCAGUGCCGCAGGGAAGCCAUUAAGCUCGCCGCCUGGGGAUACGGCCGCAAGGCUGAAACUUAAAGGAAUUGGCGGGGAGCACCACAAGGCGUGAAGCUUGCGGUUC